rnacentral:rRNA from 1 species
CGGACGGGUGAGUAACGCGUAGGAAUCUGCCCAGCAGCGGGGGACAACUCCGGGAAACCGGAGCUAAUACCGCAUACGCCCUACGGGGGAAAGAUGGCCUCUUCUUGAAAGCUGUCACUGUUGGAUGAGCCUGCGUUAGAUUAGCUUGUUGGUGGGGUAAUGGCCUACCAAGGCGACGAUCUAUAACUGGUCUGAGAGGAUGACCAGUCACACUGGGACUGAGACACGGCCCAG